rnacentral:misc_RNA from 1 species
GCUUGUUGGAUAUUGUGAAGAAGGGAAUGAGAUGAUCUUAGUUUAUGAGUAUUUAAAAAAUGGAUCUCUACAAGAACAGUUACAAAAGAACAAUAUUGAAAGGAACAGUAGUGUGAUCAAUUCUUGGAAAAUGAGGAUCAAGAUUGCUUUAGAUGUUGCUAGAGGAAUUGAGUAUCUUCACAACUAUGCAGUCCCACCCAUAAUUCAUAGAAAUAUUAAGUCUUCUAACAUAUUGCUGGACGCAAAUUGGGCAGCAAGAGUGUGUGAUUUUGGAAUGUCAGUGUUGGGUUCUGAAUCUGAAAGCAAUCACAAACUAGAGAAGGCAGCAGGAACAGUUGGNNNAUCCUGAAUUCUAUAGUCAAAAUGUAUUAACCACAAAAAGUGAUGUGUAUAGUCUUGGUGUAGUAUUACUAGAACUUUUGACGGGCAAGAGAGCUAUAUUCAAGGAUGAAGACAAUGGAGAUGCAAUAAAAAGUAUAGUGGAUUUUGCAACAACUAAAAUUUUGGCCAAUGAAUUGGUCAAGGUUUUGGACCACAGGAUUGGUCCACCAGAACAUGUUAAAGAAGCAGAGGCAAUUGAACUAUUUUCAUAUACUGCACUUCAUUGUGUAAAUUUAGAAGGGAAUAACAGGCCAAGUAUAACUAACAUUGUUGCUAAUUUGGAGCAAGCUUCAUCUCUAUGUGAUGUUCAUGAUGAAGGAUUGCCCAGAGAUGCAGAACAGUUGCACGGUAGAUCAGAUAAGAACGAAGCAAACUCCAAUGGAACAGAGAAACAUCACUCGGAAAUUUCAGGAAGGCAACAUGCACAGUUUGUUUCUCAUUUAAAGGUUUCAGCUUAUUGUAGUUUCCUGUAACAUUUAGUAUCUUAUUUUCUCGAGCUGUAAGGUUUCAUUUUCCAAAUUGUAU